GCAUUGGUGGUUCAGUGGUAGAAUGCUCACCUUCCAUGAGGGAGGUCUGGGUAUGAUUCCCAGCCAAUGCA
rnacentral:tRNA from 1 species